UGGGGAAUAUUGCACAAUGGGGGAAACCCUGAUGCAGCGACGCCGCGUGAGCGAAGAAGUAUUUCGGUAUGUAAAGCUCUACCAGCAGGGAAGAUAAUGACGGUACCUGACUAAGAAGCCCCGGCUAACUACGUGCCAGCAGCCGCGGUAAUACGUAGGGGGCAAGCGUUAUCCGGAUUUACUGGGUGUAAAGGGAGCGUAGACGGCAAGGCAAGUCUGAUGUGAAAACCCAGGGCUUAACUCUGGGACUGCAUUGGAAACUGUCUGGCUCGAGUGCCGGAGAGGUAAGCGGAAUUCCUAGUGUAGCGGUGAAAUGCGUAGAUAUUAGGAAGAACACCAGUGGCGAAGGCGGCUUACUGGACGGUAACUGACGUUGAGGCUCGAAAGCGUGGGGAGCAAACAGGAUUAGAUACC
rnacentral:rRNA from 1 species